ensembl:lncRNA
CAGUAGAUGCUCGCAGAGACGGGCUCACCUUGGGACAGAGCAGAGAUUCGGAGAUUCAGGGGCCGGUACAUGCUCUGACGCAGCAGGCAGAGUAUUUUCCCGACCCACCCACCUUUGCUCAGCAGCUUCUGACCCACACACUCGCUGUGUGCCCACCUCCUCCAGGGCCCCCUCCCGGCUGGGGGCUUUGAGGAGGGGCUGCCUGGCUGGCACGUACAAGGAGACAGGGAGAAAGCCAGAAUCUAGGGGGCUGGAGUUCCAGCCUCUGCAGGUGGAAGAGACACUUGUCUGCUCAGCAGUGCCAGAAGCGCUGGUUUGAUGGAGGGGAGGAAGCUGAGAUGACCCCAGGGAGACAGGACAAGGAGGACAGCGGUGUGUGGUCACCUGCCCGGGAAUGAGACCCACUCCGUACGAGAGACGAGGGGGCUACAGACGACGGGGAGGCUCGGGGCUCCGAGGCUGCAGGACCCCCGGCCUGGGGUCACCGAGACAGCCUCCUUCCCCAGGAUGAGCAGAGCGGCUGCAGAGUGGUGGGG